GGUGGAGGAGGGACGCGCUGGAAACGCGAUCCGGGCGCUGAGCAAGUUCGAGAAAAUUUUGGAAUUUUGCCACGGAGGAGAAAAACGAGGAGAUCCCGAUGAUUUUAAAUUCCUUUUUAUUGAGAUUCUGGAAGUGGCGAUGAAAAUUCCCGGGAAAUAACUUUGGCACGGAGGAGGAGGAGGAGGAGGAGGAGGAGGAGGAGGAGGAAGAGGAGGAGAAAACCUCGGCCAAGUUCAAUAAAGUUUUGGAAUUUUGCCACGAAGGAGAGGAGCAGAAAGAGGAGAAGAGGAGGAGGAGGAGGAGGAGAAAACCUCGGCCAGGUUCAAUAAAAUUUUGGAAUUUUGCCACGGAGGAGAGGAGCAGAAAGAGGAGGAGAAGAGGAGGAGGAGGAGGAGGAGGAGGAGAAAACCUCGGCCAGGUUCAAUAAAAUUUUGGAAUUUUGCCACGAAGGAGAGGAGCAGAAAGAGGAGAAGAGGAGGAGGAGGAGGAGGAGGAGAAGAGGAGGAGAAAACCUCGGCCAAGCUCAAUAAAAUUUUGGAAUUUUGCCACGGAGGAGAGGAGCAGAAAGAGGAGAAGAGGAGGAGGAGGAGGAGGAGAAGAGGAGGAGGAGGAGGAGGAGGAGGAGGAGGAGAAAACCUCGGCCAAGCUCAAUAAAAUUUUGGAAUUUUGCCACGAAGGAGAGGAGCAGAAAAAGGAGAAGAGGAGGAGGAGGAGGAGAAGAGGAGGAGGAGGAGGAAAAAACCUCGGCCAAGUUCAAUAAAGUUUUGGAGUUUUGCCA
rnacentral:lncRNA from 1 species